CCUACGGGUGGCAGCAGUGAGGAAUAUUGGUCAAUGGCCGAGAGGCUGAACCAGCCAAGUCGCGUGAGGGAAGAAUGUCCUAUGGAUUGUAAACCUCUUUUGUCAGGGAGCAAAGUCACCCACGUGUGGGUGUUGGAGAGUACCUGAAGAAAAAGCAUCGGCUAACUCCGUGCCAGCAGCCGCGGUAAUACGGAGGAUGCGAGCGUUAUCCGGAUUUAUUGGGUUUAAAGGGUGCGCAGGCGGAGGUGCAAGUCAGCGGUCAAAUUGCGGGGCUCAACCCCGUACUGCCGUUGAAACUGCAUCCCUUGAGUGCGCGAGAAGUAUGCGGAAUGCGUGGUGUAGCGGUGAAAUGCAUAGAUAUCACGCAGAACUCCGAUUGCGAAGGCAGCAUACCGGCGCGCAACUGACGCUCAUGCACGAAAGCGUGGGUAUCGAACAGGAUUAGAUACCCGUGUAGUC
rnacentral:rRNA from 1 species